rnacentral:rRNA from 1 species
UACAGAGGUGGCAAGCGUUGUUCGGAAUUACUGGGCGUAAAGGGCGCGUAGGCGGCCUUCUAAGUCAGACGUGAAAUCCCCCGGCUUAACCUGGGAACUGCGUCUGAUACUGGGAGGCUAGAGUGCGGGAGAGGGAUGCGGAAUUCCAGGUGUAGCAGUGAAAUGCGUAGAGAUGUGGAGGAACACCGAUGGCGAAGGCAGCCCCCUGGGUCAAGAUUGACGCUCAUGCACGAAAGCGUGGGGAGCAAACAGG